GCCCGGGCGGAGCGGCCGUCGGU
rnacentral:snRNA from 1 species